CAGUAGCCGCGGGAAAACGUAGGGUGCAAGCGUUAAUCGGAAUUACUGGGCGUAAAGCGUGCGCAGGCGGUUAUAUAAGACAGAUGUGAAAUCCCCGGGCUCAACCUGGGAACUGCAUUUGUGACUGUAUAGCUAGAGUACGGCAGAGGGGGAUGGAAUUCCGCGUGUAGCAGUGAAAUGCGUAGAUAUGCGGAGGAACACCGAUGGCGAAGGCAAUCCCCUGGGCCUGUACUGACGCUCAUGCACGAAAGCGUGGGGAGCAAACAGGAUUAGAUACCCCCGUAGUCCCUGUCUCUUAUAC
rnacentral:rRNA from 1 species